GAUGUAUAAUCUGGAAAUGAUCGAUUCAUUUUAUAAAUUAGAAAUGGACUUUAUCCUUCCAUUGCUUAAUUGAAAGAAGAGUUGUGCAACAUUGCAACUUAAGUUUAUCUUCUUCCCUAUGUUAGUACAUGGAUUGUG